AGUGGUUUUACUUGCUGCACCAAUCCUUUACCAAAUGUUCUUUCACCAAUUACCACUGCUCUAUCCAAAUCUUGCAAAGCACCACUAACAAUUUCAGAUGCAGAAGCAGAGCCUUCGUCUACUAAAACAACAAGUGGGAUUUUUGUAUCAAUUGGCGCAUUGAGCGCUUUGUAGCUUUGUUGCCACUCUUUCAUUUUCCCUUUGGUAUAGACGACCUCAGUACCCCUAGGAACAAAGAUAUUAACGAUAUUCACCGCCUCAUUUAGCAAUCCACCGCCAUUACCACG
rnacentral:ncRNA from 1 species